GGAAAGUGCUGAGUUUCGGGGGGACAUGGAGAGGGAGCAGGGAGUGGGGAAGGUCAGAGCCAGGCUGAAGCGUGCCAAGCCCCAGGCAUCAGAGUCGCAUCGCUGAGACCCCCUUCUCCCUCCUGGGUCUCUGAAAGGUGAGGACGUGGAGAGAAAAGACCCCAUUCUUGUGGGCCCUUCUUGCCUCCUUCCUCUCCUCCAAGAAGGGCAAGAGGCCUUCUUCCAGCUGCAUAACUUCCCAGAGAGGACACUGAACAGGCGGUGAGCAGAUCUGUGGAGGCCACGCAGGGGAACUGCAGCCGGACCCGGGCCACGUUCCAGCACUGCCCCGGGCCUUCGGUUUCACCACCUGUAAUUGGGAAAAAGCGAUCCUUGCCUCCUGGACCGGGGCAGAGUGAAUCAAGAGGCCCGAUGAGAGGCUUCCGACCCCUGGGCGAAGGCAGGAGGAAGCAGCUGGGGCAGAAAGGGGAUCUGAAUGUCACCGCAGGAACAUACACCCUCCCUGGAGGGAGGACCCCGUACUCAUGGCACUCCCCAGGACCAUUUGGUGGUAGGGAGCCACAGAGGACACAGAGGCCAUGGCUUGGCGGGGCCUCCUUGAGUUCGGUGCCUCCUCUGGGAGUCCUCCACCUACGGGGCCUGGCCUUAGAAGAAGAGCUGGAGGCCAAGGAAGCGUCAUCCUUCUUUCCCAGGCCAGAAAUUCCAGGAAAGCUUAACCUCAUCAUGCCAUGAGGGCUUUGUCUGACCCCAGGACACCCCCACCUGAUGAGCCAGCUGCCCUCCUUCCCCUUUCCCAGGGGCCCUGCCAGCACCUGCUCCAGAUGGCCUCCAACCCCGCUGUCCUACGCAGCCCCAUGACGUCAGAGUUUAUCCCUCCUUUUUUUUUUUUUUGUUUCCCCUUUUAAAAAAUAAAAGAUAGGCUCAGUUCCCUGGGGGGAACAACUGCUCCCCACAUGGCUAUCAACAGGCAGGUGAGGGAGUAGAGGCUGUGGCCUGAACCCUGAGAAAGUGAGCAGGCUUGUGAGGGAGAGGGGCCUUCCCAGCAGAAGACGGUUCAGCAUCCCGACCUCAGCGUGGAGCAUGCACCAGAUGUUUGCAGAAGGAAUGGAUCUGCUGCCAGGCUCUGUGCCUUGGGGACCGGGCCUGCCUUGGCUGGGCUCUUGUAAAACAUUGGUCAUAUGGAGCUUUUCCAAGCCGGGAGCUGCUUCUUGCUGCUCUGGGGGUCCCUGCACUGAGCCCACCUUCUUGGUGUGGACCUAGAGGAGACUGUUGUGUGGUUUGGAAGACCAUGUUUCAGAUUUGUUGGAGGUCACAGUCUUCAAGGAAGGGGGCUUCUCCCUAAGGACAGAGGGGACCCGAGUGUCUUACAAAAGCCCCUUAACUUGGCACCUUCACAGAAGGGAUCAUGGGACGGGCCUGCCAGGAUCCAGGCCCACCACUCAGCUCAAGAAGCCACGUCUCUGGGUUUUCCAAGCCAGAAACUCCCCUGCAGAUUUCUGCCCCGUGAGUGUGUGAUCACCAACUGCUUUCUGAUCCAAAUGUGUUUCUCAAGCAGAACAGGCUUCACGGAGCUAAGAGAAACACAAUGUGAAUAUUCACCCAGUGUUGCAGUGCAAGAUCAACAGAGUUGUCAAACUAACAGGAAAAUGUACAAAUACUUCCACCAAUAUAGCAUGACCUGCCUAGUACUCUGGCAGAUUUCCAGAUCCUUGAGGCAAAAUUUGUGCCAGGAUUUGGACUGUUUUAAGGGUUGUGUGUUUACAAAUUUAUACAGGUAAAAACAUCUCUGUUGGGGGCCGGCCCCGUGGCUGAGUGGUUACUAUCACGCACUCCGCUUCGGUGCCCUGGGGUUUCGCUGGCUCGGAUCCUGGGCGCAGACAUGGCGCUGCUCAUCAGGCCACGCUGAGGUGGCGUUCUACAUGCCACAACCGGAAGGACCCACAACUAAAAAUAUACAACUAUGCACCGAGGGGCUUUGGAGAGAAAAAGGAAAAAU
rnacentral:lncRNA from 1 species